CUCGUAGGCGGUUUGUCGCGUCGGGAGUGAAAACCUACAGCUUAACUGUGGGCUUGCUUUCGAUACGGGCAGACUAGAGGUAUGCAGGGGAGAACGGAAUUCCUGGUGUAGCGGUGAAAUGCGCAGAUAUCAGGAGGAACACCGGUGGCGAAGGCGGUUCUCUGGGCAUGAUCUGACGCUGAGGAGCGAAAGUGUGGGGAGCGAACAGGAUUAGAUACCCUGGUAGUCCACACCGUAAACGUUGGGCGCUAGGUGUGGGAUCCAUUCCACGGGUUCCGUGCCGCAGCUAACGCAUUAAGCGCCCCGCCUGGGGAGUACGGCCGCAAGGCUAAA
rnacentral:rRNA from 1 species